rnacentral:rRNA from 1 species
UACAGAGGGUGCGAGCGUUGUCCGGAAUCACUGGGCGUAAAGGGCGCGUAGGCGGUCUUUUAAGCGUGUGGUGAAAGCCCGGGGCUCAACUCCGGGUCGGCCGUGCGAACUGGGGGACUGGAGCUUGUCAGAGGCAGGCGGAAUUCCGGGUGUAGCGGUGGAAUGCGUAGAGAUCCGGAAGAACACCGGUGGCGAAGGCGGCCUGCUGGGACAGUGCUGACGCUGAGGCGCGACAGCGUGGGGAGCAAACAGG